CCUGACUGCUAUCGGAUUGAUACUAAGCCAUGCGAGUCAUUGUAGCAAUACAAGGCAUACGGCUCAGUAACGCGUAGUCAACCUAACCUAUGGACGGGAAUAACCUCGGGAAACUGAGAAUAAUGCCCGAUAGAACACUAUACCUGGAAUGGUUUGUGUUCCAAAUGAUUUAUCGCCGUAGGAUGGGACUGCGGCCUAUCAGCUUGUUGGUGAGGUAAUGGCCCACCAAGGCGAUUACAGGUACGGGCUCUGAGAGGAGGAGCCCGGAGAUGGGUACUGAGACAAGGACCCAGGCCCUAUGGGGCGCAGCAGGCGAGAAAACUUUGCAAUGUGCGAAAGCACGACAAGGUUAAUCCGAGUGAUUUCUGCUAAAGAAAUCUUUUGCAAGUCAUAAAACCACUAGUGAAUAAGGGGUGGGCAAGUUCUGGUGUCAGCCGCCGCGGUAAAACCAGCACCUCAAGUGGUCAGGAGGAUUAUUGGGCCUAAAGCAUCCGUAGCCGGCUCUGUAAGUUUUCGGUUAAAUCCAUGUGCUCAACGCAUGGGCUGCCGAAAUACUGCAUAGCUAGGGAGUGGGAGAGGUAGACGGUACUCAGUAGGAAGGGGUAAAAUCCUUUGAUCUAUUGAUGACCACCUGUGGCGAAGGCGGUCUACCAGAACACGUUCGACGGUGAGGGAUGAAAGCUGGGGGAGCAAACCGGAUUAGAUACCCGGGUAGUCCCAGCUGUAAACGAUGCAGACUCGAUGAUGCAUUGGCAUAUAGCCAGUGCAGUGUCGCAGGGAAGCCGUUAAGUCUGCCGCCUGGGAAGUACGUACGCAAGUAUGAAACUUAAAGGAAUUGGCGGGGGAGCACCACAAGGGGUGAAGCCUGCGGUUC
rnacentral:rRNA from 1 species